rnacentral:rRNA from 1 species
UACGUAGGGGGCAAGCGUUGUCCGGAAUUAUUGGGCGUAAAGCGCGUGUAGGCGGCUCGAUAAGUCUGCUGUGAAAGUCCAAGGCUCAACCUUGGAAAGCCGGUGGAUACUGUCGAGCUCGAGUCCGGAAGAGGCGAGUGGAAUUCCUGGUGUAGCGGUGAAAUGCGCAGAUAUCAGGAGGAACACCAAUGGCGAAGGCAGCUCGCUGGGACGGUACUGACGCUGAGACGCGAAAGCGUGGGGAGCAAACAGG